rnacentral:rRNA from 1 species
AGAGCGGCGCACGGGUGCGUAACGCGUAUGCAACCUACCCUUUACCGGGGGAUAGCCCGGGGAAACCCGGAUUAAUACCCCAUAGUAUGCAGACACCGCAUGGUGGUUGCAUUAAAGAUUUAUCGGUGAAGGAUGGGCAUGCGUAGGAUUAGUUAGUUGGCGGGGUAACGGCCCACCAAGACUUUGAUCCUUAGGGGUUCUGAGAGGAAGGUCCCCCACACUGGCACUGAGAUACGGGCCAGACUCCUACGGGAGGCAGCAGUAGGGAAUAUUGGGCAAUGGGCGGGAGCCUGACCCAGCCAUGCCGCGUGCAGGAAGAAGGCGUUAUGCGUUGUAAACUGCUUUUAUACGGGAAGAAAAGGCCCAUGCGCGGGACAUUGCCGGUACCGUAUGAAUAAGCACCGGCUAACUCCGUGCCAGCAGCCGCGGUAAUACGGAGGGUGCAAGCGUUGUCCGGAUUUAUUGGGUUUAAAGGGUGCGUAGGCGGCCCGUUAAGUCAGCGGUGAAAGUCUGUGGCUCAACCAUAGA